rnacentral:rRNA from 1 species
AAUGAACGUUGGCGGCAUGGAUUAGGCAUGCAAGUCGAGCGAGAAGAGUUUUGAAGCUGCUUUAGAACUCGGACAGCGGCGAAAGGGAGAGUAACGCGUAGUUAUGUGCCCUAGGGUCCGGAAUAGCCACGGGAAACUGUGGGUAAUGCCGGAUAACAUCCCCGGAUCAAAGGUGUGAUUCCGCCCUAGGAGCAGACUGCGUCCUACUAGCUAGUUGGUGGGGUAAUGGCCCACCAAGGCAAUGAUGGGUAGCGGGUGUGAGAGCAUGACCCGUCUCACUGGGACUGAGACACUGCCCAGACAGCUACGGGUGGCUGCAGUCGAGAAUCUUCGGCAAUGGGCGAAAGCCUGACCGAGCGAUGCCGCGUGCGGGAUGAAGGCCCUCGGGUUGUAAACCGCUGUCGUAGGGGAGGAAGGUUCCGUGAAGAGCGGAAUUUGACCUAUCCUAGGAGGAAGUACGGGCUAAGUUCGUGCCAGCCGCCGCGGUAA